AGCAGCCGCGGUAAUUCCAGCUCCAAUAGCGUAUAUUAAAGUUGUUGCAGUUAAAAAGCUCGUAGUUGAAUUUCGGGACCAAUAUGUCUGUCGUGCCUUUGGUACGUACGGGUAUAAUUGGUUUCUACCUUCUGAUGAACCUUGAUGCCAUUAAUUUGGUGUCUUGGGGACUCAGGACUGUUACCUUGAAAAAAUUAGAGUGUUUAAAGCAGGCAUACGCUUGAAUACAUUAGCAUGGAAUAAUGAAAUAGGACGUUCGAUUCUAUUUUGUUGGUUUCUAGGAUCGACGUAAUGAUUAAUAGGGAUAGUUGGGGGCAUUAGUAUUCAAUUGUCAGAGGUGAAAUUCUUGGAUUUAUUGAAGACUAACUACUGCGAAAGCAUUUGCCAAGGAUGUUUUCAUUAAUCAAGAACGAAAGUUAGGGGAUCGAAGACGAUCAGAUACCGUCGUAGUCUUAACCAUAAACUAUGCCGACUAGGGAUCGGAUGAUGUUAAUUUUUAAUGACUCAUUCGGCGCCUUAC
rnacentral:rRNA from 1 species